rnacentral:lncRNA from 1 species
CUUUACCAAUGCUAUUCCUUUACCUUCUUUUUAUAGGUGAUUCAGAUGUAACCGUCGAGCACGUGGUCCUACUGUUUAUGGUACUAAAAUAUAAUUAUCGGUAUAUUAUCCUAGAGUUAAUGGGCUGUUUAUGCCCACUAAUAAUCGUGACAUGUAGUUGAUAACCGUUUAUAAUAAUUAGACACAUAGGUUUUGCACAUUCCAACAUUAUGUGAUCAUGGGAUAGGCGGCUACACCCAUCACUGAUCAUGUUCUGGCCAUUAUGCACUUUUGGUGCUAGUAGUUUCAGAUAAGCCGACUAUAUGUUUGUAAUAAUAGUAUGUUGGUAGUCGUAG